AGGGAAGCCGGUGAAAGUCCGGCGCGGAGCCGCCGCUGUAACCCGGAAGGGCCCCGACAUCACGCCACUGACGUUCGCGUUGGGAAGGCGUUCGGGGACGCGAAGGGGAGCCAGAAGACCU
rnacentral:ncRNA from 2 species